CAAAUACUCCCUCCGUCCGGAAAUACUUGUCCUGAAAAUGCAUAUAAUGGAUGUAUCCACAAUUAAAAUAAGUCUAGAUACAUUCAUCUCUANNNCAAGUAUUUCCGGACGGAGGUAGUAAUAC
rfam:Hordeum vulgare subsp. vulgare, WGS project CAJW01000000 data, contig: morex_contig_1354127